ACUGGUAGAAGUACAUCAGUAAGAGAUAGCGUGGAAGAGAAAAUGAGGAAUGUGUUGUUUAGUUCUUCGGAUUUCGAACUCUUUGACCCAGAUAUCACACCUCAAGACUAUGAAUUCUACCAGAAGCACAAGGACGCAUUGAAGAGUUUACUGGAAGACCAGACACAAGAACGAAAGCAGAAGUUUGUUGAGGCUUUCAGGGAUUUUUCAUUAAAUCAUGGCUGUAUGAAAGACUUUCCACUUAAGAAUGAACAUAGCUUUAUAGUUGAUGUCAUAGAAAAUAUUUCCAAAAGUUUUGUUGAAGGUAAGGCAAGCAAAGGUAAAUAUUUGGUCACAGAUGCUGUUUGUCUGCUUCAAAACAGGGGCAUGAUUCAGAACCUGGGUGGUAGUUCCUCAUGUGCCAAAGAUCCCUUUGUUCACAAAGAUACAAGAGAUGUGUUUCGAAGGCUCUUUGGAGAACCAGACCAAGAGUCCCGAUUAAAGGCUGUGGUGGUAUUUCCUCUGUACGUGAAGUUCGGUGGAUCAGUUUGUCGCUAUUUAAGGCGUUGGCUAGAAGCAGGGAAACUCGAUGAGCUUGGUGUCACGUCCUUGUCACAGGUGCCUGUCAGCAACUCUGAAUCAACCCAAAGCGUAAGCACUAAAGAGGACAAUACCACAAAAGCUUCGUCCACUGAAGUCGUCAAACCAAGCGGAGGUCCGAUGGUGGCAGUGGCUACUAUCGGUCGGAAUGGAGGAGCGUCAGACAACUCUGAGGAGGAGGAGGAGGAGGAGGAAGAGGAAGAUAGCUGGGAGGCCAAAGUCAUAAGAGGUAUAACGUCAGUGCUAACGGACAGGGGGGGAGCCUCUGCUAUUGAUUUCAUGGAAGUGUAUAAACGGGACAAAGACGGCUCCUACAGGAGGCUGAGAGAACAGUUUCACCUUGGAAAGCCUCACCCGAACGUCGAAUUUGAAGAGAGGUGUAGGAAGAAAGAGGAAGAAGUGAUUGAAGGUAGUCGGCUACGUGAGGUGAUUAUGAAGGACUAUGCUGAGAGCUGUACUAAGAAGAAACACGCCUGUGCUAACUGUAGGCAAGUUGAGAGAUACGCGGGAACGUUUAAGAAGUGUCAGAGUUUUGCGGACUGAGGUGGUAAUCCACGAUUCUCAAUUUCCGGCAGAAAAAAAAUCUCGUAAACUUUGCUACCGUUAGUAAAAAAAAAAGUUGAUUUAUGACAUCUGCUUCCAAAUGAGUUGUGAAUUUGUAUUUUUCGUUGUCAACUCCAAAUAACUUGACAUGUAAGGAAUUGGAAAAGAUGACGUUCCCUUCCCAACUUUUUUUUGCUUAGAUAGAAAAGCGAACGAAGAUAUAUUCUUGGAAGAAAUGUUACUCAUCUGAAACUGCAAGAGUUUGUUCCCGCUACGCCGAAAACAAAUUGUUAAUUAGCGAGAAAAAACUCUUUCUGGAUUCUCAUUUUACAUGAUGUUUGUUUUUCUCUGGGAAACCUACUAGUCUCGAUCGUUUAUUCUUUUACAUAUUCUGAUAGGUGCAGUGGAAAGGGUACAAGAUUUUACUGCAGUCGUAAAUGCCAAGGUGAAGACUGGGUUUCGAGGCAUCGACAGGACCACUCUACAAUGGAUUUACCAUCAUAAAAUUGUUAAUUUGCUGGCCUAUUUCUCUCCACUAUGGUAAUCAAAUACGAUUCUCAUAGUUUACUGAAACGAUCACUGAAGAAGUUCUCAAUAGUUACCUUUGUAAAGUUUUGGUAAGUGAGAAGUAAAACUUAGAUACUGUGCGGCCAUCCAGCGAAGAAAUAACCAACGUGUGAACGUCAAAAAAAGAAAUUAUGCCAAAUAAUUUUUUAUGUGCUAGACUGCCCUCAGGUUCAUUUACUGAUUUUUGUUGACUGUUAUGAAUACAAGUGCAUGGAAUCUCCUUUGCAGCCGUUAUUUUGUCUCGUUAUGCAACACCUCUUUCCCCCCAGAGAGAGAUAGGGCGUUGCGUGAUGAAACCAAACAACGGCUGCGAAAAUAUGACACAAGGUGAUCCUAUCGAACGUAAAAUGUGGAUAACAAUUUACCACACUGCCGUCUUGAACUGUAUGUAUAAGGUCAAUUCUAUAUCUAUGUGGUAAUAAGGUAACUCCCAUAAUAAAGGUGUAACUUGUGAGGUUGAUGUUUA
rnacentral:misc_RNA from 1 species